UUUUGUUUUAGUUUUGAUUAGUUUGAUAUUGGGUUUUCUUGAUGCAUGUAAAUUCUGGUGAUUUUGCUUGGGUUGGGUUUUUUGGCGGUAUGGCAGAAUGUACUACGAUUACAUGAAAAGUGACAUGCUUGUAGGUUGCUGUAUGUAUGGGUCUCUUGGCUUUGCCAUAUAAACAUUUUGAUAUUAGAUUUAUGAAUUUUAUUUUUCUUCCCUUGAUUUUUUUUACCAAAGAUCAUCAUUUUCUUUCAUUUAUAGGCACUAAAGAUUAUGACUUUCUUAGUUUCUUUCAUUGAAACAUUACUAUGCUUCUUAGCAUAAUAAUAAUUUCUGAAAUUGGAAUUUGUUACCGUUGAGAAAUAUAUUUGUUGCUGUAUGUAUGCUUUUUGUUUUUAUUUUUUAUCUAUGACUGAGACUUUGAAUUAUUAUUGAAAUUCCCAUGUGUAAGUUUAGAAAUUCCAAUUUCACAUUGAUACUAGAACUCCAAGCAAAUCGUAUUCAAAGUUGAACUUUAAUCUACAACUCUAUAGUCUAGGACAGAACUAGAACAUGAUGCAGAGAUGCACAACUACUGAUAUUCUCAUUUAUUACUGUUUCAAAUGUUUUCUACUGCUCCACUGGUUUGUGUUAGUAAAUCUUAUGGAUUGAGACUUCCUCGUGAAUUUGCACUUCUCAUGAAGCAGCUUCUAUAUUUGGACCGGUCCACCUGGUUGUUGGCUCCAAACUUGAAAAUGCUUCAGGACCAGAGGAUCUCCAUUGUUUCAAACUGAAGAAGCAAAUAUGGGGACAGUUUCAAAUGAACCUUGUUUAUAUAGAUAUACUUUCUCCUAGUCUUGAGGGAGGUCAUCAGAUUGUGAAAUGCACCGAGAUGCUCCCCUAAUAGGCUGAUUCUUUUCACUUCCUGCUGACAAGAGAAGGAUCUAGGCUCUAGCUAAGGUGAAGAACAGAGUUAAAAGGUUGAUUCUUUUCACUUCUUGCACCAAGAAGACUAUCAAUUUCAAUUGGCCAAUUCGAUUUCCAAUUUUGGCUAUGGGGAAUCCAAGAAUCAACUGACGGCUUUGUCAACAAUAAUGAGGACAUCUUGUAUUUAUCACCAUAAAUCUUGUGUAGAGGGGAAAAAAAAGUAUGAAAUGGACUUGUUCCAUGGAAACAAAACACAUGGUGUUGUGUUUUAGCUUUCUGUUGUUGCUACGAAAUUGAAUAGCUGAGCAAGUUGUUGCAUUCAAGUUGUAGCUGAUUUUGUGUUGAUGAAUAUAUGUAAUGUAUACAAUUUUGUUUCUGUUAUAAGCUUUCUUAAUGCAUUUUGAAUUUCUAUCUAGAAUAAAUGGAAUUGUUUUUUA